rnacentral:rRNA from 1 species
AUUGAACGCUGGCGGCAUGCCUAACACAUGCAAGUCGAGCGAGCGGCGGACGGGUGAGUAAUGUCUGGGAAACUGCCUGAUGGAGCGGGAUAACUACUGGAACCGGUAGCUAAUACCGCAUAACAUCAGAUGUGCCCAGAUGGGAUUAGCUCGUCGGUGGGUUAACGGCUAACCUAGGCAACGUUCCCUCGCUGGUCUGAGAGGAUGACCAGCCACACUGGAACGGAGAAACGGCCCAGACGCCUACGGGAGGCACCAGUGGGGAAUAUGGCACAAUGGGGGAAAGCCGGAUGCAGCCAGCCGGCGUGUGUGAAGAAGGCCUUGGGGUUGUAAAGCACUUUCAUCGGGGAGGCGGUACCCGCAGAAGAAGCACCGGCUAACUCCGUGCCAGCAGCCGCGGUAAUUC